AAAGUCGUAACAAGGUAACCGUAGGUGAACCUGCGGUUGGAUCAUUAAAAAGUGAACGGUCGAGAAACUCGGCAUAUUCAGAUUUACAACCUGCAGCUUUUGCAGGGGUGUAAACCAAACAUUUUGUGCACCGACAACUGUCUCUGGCGGGUGGGCAGCGCAAGCUGCUUGUCAACCAUGAUUUUUCAUGGGUGUGGACAACCCGUCAAACACUUCGUUACUUAUGUAUUUCUUACUUUGCCUGACAUUAUUUGUACAAAAAUACAAAACAACUUUUGGCAACGGAUCUCUUGGCUCUC
rnacentral:misc_RNA from 1 species